CUCUGGCAGGAGGGAAUGAGGUCAAUCCACAACCCUCCAACUUAACGCACAUCGUCUGUUGCAGAGGGGUUAGGAUUUCACUUUUUUAUUGUAUUUUGAAGGCCUAUCGGACGCUCUGUUGAGAUUUGAUUUUUGUGACCGAUACGUGAACAGUAUUGAUGUUUUGAGUGUUCCCAAAGAGAGAGACAUUACAUCACAACAAUUUGUCAGGUCAAUUCUUGCCACAUGUUUCUUUCCUGUAAAGGUCCACUUAGAUUACAGAUGGAAGCAAAGGUUGUUCAGUUUACAUUUUAAGGACAUUGCACGGUGAGGGAAGGAGCUUAACAACAACGUGGCAUCAGAUCAUCUGUGGUUACUUUCAUCCAGUCGAGCGCUAAUCUCACGUGGAUGAUUCGCUUAGAUCUCCUCCGGCCAUCCGGCCACAACUGCCGAUACGAUCAGAGCUGGGGAGCAGAUGCGAGGCUGGGAAACGGUGGCAGUUCACUGGAGUUGAAUUGUACCCCGGAGAGGAGGAAGUGAAGUUUUUCUAUCAGAUGGAAAGAUCAGAGGAGACGGAUAAUUCAGUAAUCACAUCUCCAGCGAUUAGGGGGGACAGGAGGCGGGUUGCCGAUAAGGAACUGUGGGCUUCACGGACGUUCUGUUCGGUUAAUAGGAAACCGAAAAAGACUCAACGCCUUAUUUUCCCAGUGGUAUCUGCUUCUUUUAUCACACCACUUUAUGAUUUCUCACCUUGUCUCAUUGGGUCGUCUGAUCUCAUCUCAUUUACUAAAGGGUCGGUGAACCUGUCAGCGAAUCAAAACCAACUUCUGUGUGUGCUUCAUCUGGGUACGGUUGUAUCUUCUCAUCUCGUCUCAUUCCUGAUGACUUACAUUAGUUUUUUGACCCAUCUCGUCCUCAUAAUCCUGUUUCAUUCAUGCGGUAACAGAUGAAAACAACGCCCAGGCCUAUAAAAAAUGAUCUUUUUGGUCAUGUUUUAUUCUCCAAAGAAAUGUCAACAUCCUGAGUAAGACAGCCUAACCCAAGGGACAAUAGUAGAAAUUGUUUAAAUAUAAAUCCUGGUGCUCCUUCUGUCACGGUUUGGGUUUGUUUCCUUUCUUAUUUUGUAGUUUUCUGCCUCUUGUGUCCCUGGGUAACUUCACUUCCUGCCUUGUCCUGUCAUCCCCUGUGAUUGUCUGAUUGUUUCCACCUGUGUCCAAUCACCUGCACCUGCACCAUGUGUAUUUAAGUCAUGUGUGUCGCUUGUCCCUUGUCGCUCAUUGUUGACUGUUUUGGAUGUUCCUGUCUGCAUUUUUUGCCCCUGGCCCUUUUGGAUUUUGACUAUUAAAGUCUUUUUGUUUUUGAAAGUCUGCGUUUGAGUCCUGCCUUCUCUGUCUGAACAAGACUUUUCAAGGAUUACUCAUAUUUUUCCACCUGAUGAACACUCCAUAUCCUGACAUCAUAUCUGUAAGUCACAAACCGUUGUCAAUGCCACCUGACGAGCAUGACGAGUCCUCUGACUCUCUCUAUCCAAGUGGGUAAAAGCCUGACGUGUAUAUGUGCACACGGACACACAAGCGCACCAUGUCUUGUUGGCCUGUGAGAUCUUAUCACGGACAUUGAAAUGAGAUGAGACAAUGUGAGUAUCUGCUUCCUGUGUUUGUGUGUGGUUGGGAUGCAUGGGUCUCAUGCAGUAUCAUGUUAAAGUUGAGCGUCUGCUGUCUGCAGAGUCGCCGUAGUUUUAAUUUGAUGCUUUUAUUUUGAAGGCUUGUAAAGUAUGUAAAAUCUUGAUAGAUUAAAUUAAGAAGACAUAAUAUUGCAAAUAAUGCAAAUCUUUUAAGAGAAAUUUAAUUUGCAUUAUUUGCAAU
ensembl:lncRNA